UCGGGAGUCGUGAUUAAAAGGGAAUCAGGUGAAAAUCCUGGACAGACCCGCUGCUGUGAGUUCCACAACAGUCUUCGAUAUACUCCGCCACUGGGAGCUUCGCUCUUGGGAAGGCCUCGAAGAUGGAACGAGUCAGAAGACCUGCCAUAACGUU
rnacentral:ncRNA from 1 species